UACGUAGGUGGCAAGCGUUGUCCGGAUUUACUGGGCGUAAAGGGCGUGCAGGCGGUUUGUUAAGUCUAGGGUGAAAGCUCCCGGCUCAACUGGGAGAGGUCCUUGGAUACUGGCAGACUUGAGGAGAGUAGAGGAGAGUGGAAUUCCCGGUGUAGUGGUGAUAUGCGUAGAUAUCGGGAGGAACACCAGUGGCGAAGGCGGCUCUCUGGGCUCUACCUGACGCUGAGACGCGAAAGCGUGGGGAGCGAACCGG
rnacentral:rRNA from 1 species